CCUACGGGAGGCAGCAGUGGGGAAUAUUGCACAAUGGGGGAAACCCUGAUGCAGCGACGCCGCGUGAGUGAAGAAGUACUUCGUUAUGUAAAGCUCUAUCAGCAGGGAAGAAAAUCACGGUACCUGAGUAAGAAGCCCCGGCUACCUACGUGCCAGCAGCCGCGGUAAUACGUAGGGGGCAAGCGUUAUCCGGAUUUACUGGGUGUAACGGGAGCGUAGACGGGAGUGCAAGUCUGGCGUGAAAGGCGGGGGCUCAACCCCCGGACUGCUCUGGAAACUGUACGGCGGGAGUGCAGGAGAGGUAAGUGGAAUGCCUAGUGUAGCGGUGAAAUGCGUAGAUAUUAGGAGGAACACCAGUGGCGAAGGCGGCUUACUGGACUGUAACUGACGUUGAGGCUCGAAAGCGUGGGGAGCAAACAGGAUUAGAUACCCUUGUAGUC
rnacentral:rRNA from 1 species